rnacentral:rRNA from 1 species
GAGUUUGAUCUUGGCUCAGGACGAACGCUGGCGGCGUGCCUAACACAUGCAAGUCGAGCGAGGGAUUUAUGACGGAUUCCUUCGGGAUGAAGACAUAAAUCACCUAGCGGCGGACGGGUGAGUAACGCGUGAGGAACCUACCUCCUACAAGGGGAUAGCCUCGGGAAACUGGGAUUAAUACCCUAUGACACUUAAGGGUCGCAUGAUCUUUAGGUUAAAGCGAUAUAGCGGUAGGAGAUGGCCUCGCGUCCCAUUAGCUAGUUGGUGAGGUAACGGCUUACCAAGGCGACGAUGGGUAGCCGGCCUGAGAGGGUGAACGGCCACACUGGAACUGAGACACGGUCCAGACUCCUACGGGAGGCAGCAGUGGGGAAUAUUGCACAAUGGGCGGAAGCCUGAUGCAGCGACGCCGCGUGAGCGAAGAAGGCCUUCGGGUCGUAAAGCUCUGUCCUAUGGGACGAUAAUGACGGUACCAUAGGAGGAAGCCCCGGCUAACUACGUGCCAGCAGCCGCGGUAAUACGUAGGGGGCGAGCGUUGUCCGGAAUUACUGGGCGUAAAGGGUACGUAGGCGGCUAGGUAAGUCAGAUGUGAAAUCCAUGGGCUCAACCCAUGUAAGCAUUUGAAACUGCUUAGCUUGAGUUAAGGAGAGGAAAGUGGAAUUCCUGGUGUAGCGGUGAAAUGCGUAGAUAUCAGGAGGAAUACCAGUGGCGAAGGCGACUUUCUGGCCUUAAACUGACGCUGAGGUACGAAAGCGUGGGGAGCAAACAGGAUUAGAUACCCUGGUAGUCCACGCCGUAAACGAUGAGUGCUAGGUGUCGGGGGUUUAACCUUCGGUGCCGCAGUUAACACAUUAAGCACUCCGCCUGGGGGAGUACGUUCGCAAGAAUGAAACUAAAACGAAUUGACGGA